CAUCGAUUCAUCAAUCAUCGUCUGCUGUCUUGUUUCUUUCGGUUACAAUUCUUUUAAUUGUCGAUACAAAAAUACCGAUAGCGAGUGAAGUUUCGUUGAAGAUGCCACUUCGCAUAAAUUUUUGCCUUCCAAAGUACUUAUAUAUGUUUAAAAUAACAUUUCUAGCUUGAUUGCUUAAUGUUUCUCUAGCUUAUAAACAAUUGAACUAUCCGCCAUUAUCGCUAAAGGCUAAAUGACGAUGACGUCAUUCAGUUAUAGUUAUUUAAUUUUAAGCGAUCAGAGAUUUAAUUUAAUAUUUAAUAAUAUGACCACGAAAUGUAAAGUACCAAUUUAUCUAUUUUUAAAAAAUAACAAACGUUUCAAAUUAUUAACGACGGUAAAAAAUAAACAGCUAUUGGAUGAACGAAACAGAAACUCGCUAUUCUAUUGGAUGGAUUGACAUUUGCAAUUCAAAAGUUCUUUACCAUAUAACGUAGUCUCUCUUUAGUUGAAAAGAGUAUAAUUCUGAUUGCCAAUUAUAUAAGUUAUAGUAGGAAAACGAAUCUGGGGCGUUUGACGCUUCAGAUUCUCAAUAACUGUUGUAUUUUUACCUAUAAUAACAUUGUUACUUAAGUCAACCGGAUGGCCACGGUAGCAGCGUACUGCACUUCCAAUCUGAGGAUCUGGAUCCAUUUCGGGGUUCCAUACCUCCAGUUUUUCAGGAAGAGUCCGGGCCCGGCCUAUUGAAACCCAUCCUCCACCUCAUGGCCGACCCUACCAUCUAUGGUGGGACUGGAAUGCCCUAUCGCUUAGUGUACACAAUAUGGAAAGGGUGUAAAACCAUGACAGAAGAAAACAUUUAUUACUUCUAGCAUAUGGUGUAAUAAUGAACAAUAAAAGCGUGUCUGUAAAGAGAUUAUCCGAGC
rnacentral:lncRNA from 1 species